UAUACAUGUGAGUGCUAGGUCUCAUCCCUUUCUUGUGUUCCUUAUAUCACUUUGUUGUUGCCAACUAAAGUUUGCUAAUUUAUUUGAAAAAUCUAGAGGGAAAAAAAAAAAUAGUAGUUAAGUUUGACCUUAUGCCUUAUGGUAUAAAAUUGGUGAUAUAAAAUUGAGCCUAUCUGCAACUUAUAGAAUGUGGUAACAAGAGUUUUUAGACAUUUCCACUAAAUCAAUCCAAACUAAUCUAAACUUGGGCACAUAUAUAUAGGGAAGGAUCAGAUGAUACUAUGUCCGAUCAUGUUUAAAGUUUUGUUACACGGGUAGAGUUUUUGGCUCCUCAAAUUAUGGAUACAAUCGAAGCAUCUAAAACAAGUUGAGAAACAAACAACAUGAAAAGUCUCGCAAAUAUAAGGAAAUAAAUAACAAACAAAUAGAUAUCAUGGAAAAAUAUUGCCUAAUUAUUGCAUGCUAAGUAUGUUUGAGGCAGUAUAUCUACUCAUAUGGCAAGAUAAUGAUUUAACUCAAAGAAAUGUUUUAUUAGGGGUGUACAUCAGUCUGUUCGAUUCGGGUUAGAGCCAAACCGACAACUAAAUAGAACUUGGUUGGUUCCUAAUAUUUGGACGCAGAACCAAAAUGACCAAUUUGUGGAUGGAACGAAAUCAACCCAACUGGUUGACCAGACGUGUCAAAUUAUUUAUACAAGGCUUCUCAUUUUUAUUAGAACUAGUUUACUAUCACCAUUCUUAUUGUUUGUGUCCUAAUGCUAGUCCUUUUCAGAUUUUGACUUCACAUCGAACAAUCAAUAUAUUGCAUCAUCUUCAAUGGAUAAAACUGCGAGAAUAUGGGAGAUAUCCAAAGGCCUUUGCAUUCGGGUGAUUUAUGGACUCUCUCCUCAACUUUGUAUUCGAUUCCAUCCUGUGAAUAACAACUUCCUUUCCGUUGGCAAUGCAAACAAAGAAAUCACUGUGUUCAAUUUCAGCACUGGGAGAGUAAUUAAUAAAACUGUCUUCGACAAUGAGGUUACUGCUAUGGACCAUGAUCACACUGGUCUGCUUAUUUUCUGUGGGGAUGCUCAGGGAUGUGUAUACACAGUGUCUAUGAACUCACACACAGGCGUACUAUCCCGGUCUCAUCGCAAUCGGAAUGGAAGCAAGCGCAAAUCUCCUGUCACAACUGUGCAGUAUAGAACCUUUUCUCUGCUGGCACGAGGCCCUGUGUUGCUGACAUUUACUCGAGAUGGAAGUUUUAUCUUUUUUUAGAGUUUCGUUGGAGAUACAAGGUUAUUUGACUCUUCGAUGCUCACUAAAAUUGGCUCCACGACUACACAGUAUCCGAGCUUCCUUCUGCCCUCUGCUUUCCCUUGAAAAAGGAGAAUUCAUAGUUGUUGGAAGUGAGGACGCAAACGUCUAUUUCUAUUACUUAACUCGGCCAAGGCAUGCACGUGUAAACAAGCUGCAGGUCUGUUUUUCACUACC